UCAUUCCGUUACCUUUUUUUGGUUGCAUUUAUCUCGUGAAUAAACUACGCUCUGACGUCACUUUUCACAUUUCACAGCGUAGAAAUAAAAGCCACAAUCGCUUCCAACUCGUUUGAAAAACAUGAGAUUCCUAAAGGUAUGUAUGAUUAAAAAUAAAUAAUUAUUUCUUAAAAGUGCCAUUUUCCUUAACCUCUUUUGAAAACAUUUUUCAACAAG
rnacentral:lncRNA from 1 species